rnacentral:sRNA from 1 species
GAAGCCUGGGAUAGGCUGAGGCGAAGGGAAGCCUCACCCCCUGUGCAGCCCAGGCGCCGGGCGCUGGCUCUCCAGCUGUGUGUAGGCCUGGGGGCGAGGGUCCGUGGAACGUAGCGCUGGCUGCGGCCCCGCCCGCCUACCCACCUGCCGGUCCGGCUGCCGGCUCCCGCCACCUCCGCGCUCUGUCUGGGGCCAGCCGCCUGGCGGGCUGCUCCGGUGCGCCUGCCCGCGCUUUUCACUGACAGGCGCUGUUCCCCACAGCGAGCGCCGCCCGCCACGUCCCAGUUCUCGGCCAACGGAGCUGCGCGGCGGGUGACCUUUCCGAGCCCAGCGCGAUGACGGCUCUUUGCUCCCGGCCGGCGCAGCUUCCUGGAGGCCGCCAGCUCGGGCUGGUGCCGUUCCCGCCGCCGCCGCCGCCGCCGCGGACGCCGCUGCUGUGGCUGCUGCUGCUGCUGCUGCUGGCCGCCGUGGCGCCGGCGAGCGGCUGGGAGAGCGGAGACCUGGAGUUGUUUGACUUGGUGGAGGAGGUGCAGCUCAACUUCUACCAGUUCCUCGGGGUGCAGCAGGAUGCAUCAUCUGCAGACAUCAGAAAAGCAUAUCGUAAGCUUUCACUAACUUUACAUCCAGACAAGAAUAAAGAUGAAAAUGCAGAAACUCAGUUUAGACAAGUAUGAUGAUAUUCUGAUCAAUGGACUUCCAGAUUGGCGACAGCCUGUAUUCUACUACAGGCGGGUGAGAAAAAUGAGCAAUGCUGAGCUGGCAUUACUCUUGUUCAUUAUUCUCACAGUGGGUCAUUAUGCGGUGGUUUGGUCAAUCUACCUGGAAAAACAACUGGUAAGUGUUAGUAAUAAAUCAAAUGAACUAGCCUCCUUAAUUUUGUAUGGAAUUUCGGACAUUUAUUUUUCAGCUGAUGAAAAUUUCUGUUUCUCUCUGUAUACUUCUCAUUCUAAUAGUUUUAUACUCAAUGUUUGACAUAUUUCUAAGUCAAGAAGAACCCGUGAAAUAAGAAAAUAUUCUUUUUU